rnacentral:rRNA from 1 species
UACGUAGGCAGCGAGCGUUGUUCGGAAUUACUGGGCGUAAAGAGUGUGUAGGCGGUGCUCUAAGUUCGGUGUGAAAUCUCCCGGCUUAACUGGGAGGGUGCGCCGGAAACUGGAGUGCUCGAGCGUGGGAGAGGAAAGCGGAAUUCCUGGUGUAGCGGUGAAAUGCGUAGAUAUCAGGAGGAACACCUGCGGUGUAGACGGCCUUCUGGACCAUUGCUGACGCUGAGACACGAAAGCGUGGGUAGCAAACAGG